rnacentral:rRNA from 1 species
UAGGGAAUCUUCCACAAUGGGCGCAAGCCUGAUGGAGCAACACCGCGUGAGUGAAGAAGGGUUUCGGCUCGUAAAGCUCUGUUGUUGGAGAAGAACGUGCGUGAGAGUAACUGUUCACGCAGUGACGGUAUCAAACCAGAAAGUCACGGCUAACUACGUGCCAGCAGCCGCGGUAAUACGUAGGUGGCAAGCGUUAUCCGGAUUUAUUGGGCGUAAAGCGAGCGCAGGCGGUUGCUUAGGUCUGAUGUGAAAGCCUUCGGCUUAACCGGAGUAGUGCAUUGGAAACUGGGAGACUUGAGUACAGAAGAGGAGAGUGGAACUCCAUGUGUAGCGGUGAAAUGCGUAGAUAUAUGGAAGAACACCAGUGGCGAAGGCGGCUGUCUGGUCUGCAACUGACGCUGAGGCUCGAAAGCAUGGGUAGCGAACAGG